AUGAAAUCAAAAUGAUUAUUACUUUCUAUAAUUUUAGGAGUAUUUCUGUGAAAGUCGAUUGAAAACGUGACUGCCGAACGAGAGGACCUGAUACGCACUUGAAACUUUAAAUGCGUUUUUCUCAAAACUAUACUUUUUCUGGCACGAUCUAUCAACAUUUCAAG